CACACCAUUUUCUUAAGAAUCUUUCAACCUUUUACACUUCCCUCCCUCCCUCCCUCCCUCCUUCCAUUUCCCCUUUUCAUUCCAUUGAUUCAUCGAAGAAAUCCAAAUCAAUCCAUCUUUUCAGUUCAUCAGCGAACUUUCUCACUUUCCCUUUACAUCUUCUUCCAUUUCCUCUCUAUUUCGCCCCUUUUUCUUCAAGUAAUCAUCAUACAUUUGCAAUUUCCCCCAAUAUUUUCUCUCUUUCUUUCAAUUUUUUGAUGCCUUUUUCUCCCUUUACGCUUUCUUCUCUUAGAACCCUUUCAGGGUUUAUUGUCGUCGCGUAGAGAUUUAGCGGCGCCCAGUUGUUUACCCAACUGGGUUUGAUGAUUCUUCGUCAUUCCCUUCUGGGUUUGGAUUGAAUCGAUCUUUGUGGGUCUGCCUCGCCGAUUCAAAUGUUUGGAUGAUGGAUGAAUAUUAUUCGCUUGCAAGAACAGAGGAGAGAGAGAGAGAGAGGGGUGAGAACAAAUGAAACAUUGGGUUCUUUGAUUACGGCGGAAUUCUGGGUUUGUUCUAGCGAAUUGGGAGCUUUUUCUUAUCUGGGUCUCUGCUGAUUCCACCAUUUCUGCAGGUUCUUGUUUGAUUUCUGGAGGUAAAUUUUUUCAUUGAUCAUGGGCAGAUAAGACUAGAACCAUGGGUUGGCUAAGCAAGAUUUUAAAAGUUGGAUCUGGCCAUAAAAUAGCUGAAACGAGUUACGAAUCGAAC